rnacentral:rRNA from 1 species
AAUGAACGCUGGCGGCAGGCCUAACACAUGCAAGUCGAGCGGAGCGGCGGACGGGUGAGUGAGGCCUAGGAAUCUGCCUGGUAGUUGGGGAUAACGUCCGGGAACGAGCGCUAAUAUCGCAUGCUAUCAGAUGACCCUCGUGCGGAUUAGCGCGUUGGGGUGGUAAAGGCCUACAAAGGCGACGAUCCGUAACUGGUCUGAGAGGAUGAUCGGUCCCACGGGAACUGAGACACGGUCCAGACUCCUACGGGAGGCAGCAGUGGGGAAUAUUGGGCAAUGGGCGAAAGCCGGAUCCAGCCAUGCCGCGUGUGUGAAGAAGGUCUUCGGAUUGUAAAGCACUUUAAGUUGGGAGGCGUUACCAACAGAAUAAGCACCGGCUAACUUCGUGCCAGCAGCCGCGGUAAUUC